rnacentral:rRNA from 1 species
CUACGGGAGGCUGCCGUGGGGAAUAUUGCACAAUGGAGGAAACUCUGAUGCAGCAACGCCGCGUGGAGGAUGACACUUUUCGGAGCGUAAACUCCUUUUAUAUAGGAAGAAGAUGACGGUACUAUAUGAAUAAGCGCCGGCUAACUCCGUGCCAGCAGCCGCGGUAAUACGGAGGGCGCAAGCGUUACUCGGAAUCACUGGGCGUAAAGAGCGUGUAGGCGGAUUAAAAAGUCAGAAGUGAAAUCCUAUAGCUUAACUAUAGAACUGCUUCUGAAACUCUUAAUCUAGAAUAUGGGAGAGGUAGAUGGAGUUUCUGGUGUAGGGGUAAAAUCCGUAGAGAUCAGAAGGAAUACCGAUUGCGAAGGCGAUCUACUAGAACAUUAUUGACGCUGAGACGCGAAAGCGUGGGGAGCAAACAGGAUUAGAUACCCUGGUAGUC